AACUCCAUUGUCCAUUUUCUCCCAACCUCUCAAGAUUUUCCUAAUAUAAGAAAGCACUGCUAGACGUGUAGUAUUUCCAUUUUUUCAGUCAAUUCUUCUAUCUAAAGAUGUUUUUACCUAGAAACAAUUUUAGCUCUCCUGAGACACAGAAUAUCAUUUAUGUAAAUACCAUAAUCACAAAGCAUCUACGAUGUGCAAAACAUAAUGUUAGACACUAGGAUAUGAUGAGUUAUAAAUAAUUUUCUACAUAUUCUACAAACUGAAAACAUAGUUCAGAAUAAAUUUCCUAAGUCUAACAAAAUCAGUUACAUUUUCCUUAUAUUUAGAUUCGCAAGAAUAUAAAAACAAAGUAAGUUUUUUUACUAUAUUUAUAAAUUUAGAAUACUGUUCUUCUUAUUGUACAUUUUAUUUACUUUCCUUCAAUUUACAUUAGAAAUACUAUACUGAAGAUCUACCAGAUUAUAAACUGAAAUAACCACCAGAUGUCAGUAUCUGCGUGCAAAUGUUCUACUUUGAAAAGAAACUGCUAGCAAAAAGUUGAGUCAAAUCUUUUAUUAAAAGCAUUUCUUUUCUGUCACCGCAACAUGCUCUGGGCUCAUCUUGCAUACUCUCGAUGUCCGCAGGGAAUCGUCAACUUCUCCAAGGAGCCCUGGUUCACUUCUUUGGAGAAUGGUUGUAGAAAUCAAGAUCUGGAUGCUAGAUGUGCUCAUUGCUACUGGGGUGACACUGUAUCUAGUCCCUUUCAGUGGGCAGAGCUAGGAAAUAUAUCUAUGUAUAUUAACCCCAUGUAUACACAUCUAUAUUAAUGUCUACAUCUAAUAUUUAUUAAAACAACAACAGUAUAUUAAAAUAUGAGUUCAAGCUGAUUCCACUUGACUCCAAUUCAGCACCACAGGGCUCAUUCUAUAUUCUCCACCCAUCCAUCCACUAGCCCUCCUGGCUCCCAUUCCUUCUUUGUAACUUGUUUCUCCAACAAUGAGAAACCCGGAUCCCAUUACCUACAAUAUAUUUACUCAUUUACUCAUUUACACUUACCGAUUUUACAGAAGCAAUCAGACAAUGAAAAAGGACCUUUCAUGAAGGAGAUUUGCACUGACUGG
rnacentral:lncRNA from 1 species